UACGUAGGGGGCUAGCGUUGUCCGGAAUCAUUGGGCGUAAAGCGCGCGUAGGCGGCCCGGUAAGUCCGCUGUAAAAGUCAAAGGCUCAACCUUUGAAUGUCAGUGGAUACUGCCGGGCUAGAGUCCGGAAGAGGCGAGUGGAACUCCUGGUGUAGCGGUGAAAUGCGCAGAUAUCAGGAGGAACACCGGUGGCGAAGGCGGAUCUCUGGGCCUUACCUGACGCUGAGGCGCGAAAGCUAGGGGAGCGAACAGG
rnacentral:rRNA from 1 species